GACACGACUCUCGGCAAUGGAUAUCUCGGCUCUCGCAUCGAUGAAGANNGCAGCGAAAUGCGAUACGUGGUGCGAAUUGCAGAAUCCCGCGAAC
rnacentral:rRNA from 1 species